rnacentral:rRNA from 1 species
CAGUGGCGAACGGCGGAGUAAUACAUAAGCAACGUGCCCCGAAGACCGGGAUAGUCAGUGGAAACGCUGGGUAAUACCGGAUGUGACGGACUUAGGGCAUCCUAGGUCCAUUAAAUGGUUUUUCGCUUCGGGAGCGGCUUAUGGCCUAUCAGGUAGUUGGUGGGGUAAUGGCCUACCAAGCCGACGACGGGUAGCGGGUCUGAGAGGAUGAUCCGCUCGAGUGGGACUGAGACACGGCCCACACACCUACGGGUGGCAGCAGUUGGGAAUCUUGCACAAUGGGGGAAACCCUGAUGCAGCGACGCCGCGUGGAGGAUGACGGGUCUAGGCCUGUAAACUCCUUUUAUGGGGAAAGACUUAGGACGGUACCCCAUGAAUAAGGACCGGCUAACUACGUGCCAGCAGCCGCGGUAAGACGUAGGGUCCAAGCGUUGUCCGGAUUUACUGGGCGUAAAGAGCGCGUAGGCGGUCUAGUAAGUGAGAAGUGAAAUCUCCAGGGCUCAACCCGGAAAUUGCUUUUCA